rnacentral:rRNA from 1 species
UCGAGAGGCUUUGUCAAUGGGGGAAACCCUGAACAAGCGACGCCGCGUGGAGGAUGAAGGCCCUUGGGUUGUAAACUCCUUUUGCCGGGGAAGAAGUGCGAUCAGGUGAACAAUCUGGUCGUUUGACGGUACCUGGCGAAUAAGCUCCGGCCAACUCCGUGCCAGCAGCCGCGGUAACCCGGGGGGGGCAGGCGUUGUUCGGAAUCACUGGGCGUAAAGGGCGUGUAGGCGGUCAGGUAAGUGGACUGUGAAAUGCCCCGGCUCACCCGGGGACCGGCAUC